CUCGCCUUCAUCGCUGACCAGGCCUGUGCCGGCGGUUGGGGCUGCGCCCCGGCCCACGUCGUGUCGGUGAUAUGGGACAACCUAGCCAUACUCGUCCUGCUUCUCUUGCCGCUUGCGGUCGUGCUCUUCUUCCUCCGCGCCGCCAGCUGCAGCAGCAGGGCCCCGGACGCUGACAGUCUCAGCGUCAAGGAUGUUGAGGAGCGACCUUCUGACCUUUCCUUGCCUCUUCUGUUGCUUUUGAUUGUGGCGAUACUCGGAGCCCUCUCUUUCGCUUUUUACAUGUAUGGAUAUCCAGACUUGUCCAAUCUUUACGGCCACAUGGCUCUCUUGGUCAUAUUCCUGUGUGAAGCCUUCGUCUAUGUUCGUGCUGCACUGUCGCUGUGGAAGAUGAAGAUGAACCCCACUCCCAAGCCCAGCAACAUGGUGGCUGCAGAGUAACGGAGGAUCGCCCACUUACUCAGGUGCAGUGGAUCUCGAGCCAGCAGUAGCAAGAUGAUGGAGAGUACUACGUAGUGUACUGCAGGAGCGCCUCUGCUUCCUUCUAGCUUUGUUGCUGUUCUGAAUAAAGAGACGUCCUUCUAGUAUGUUGUGUGAUGUGCAGUACUAAUCUAUUCAGUAUAUCUAGUAGUAUGAAACUUGCUUCAGUUAAUGCUAGUUCAGCGCUGAUGCAGUGUCUGGAGCAAUAUGGUAGUUUGGCUGGUCACUCUCAACCGCACCUAUCGAUCUAACACAGCAUGGAUGUGUUCCCUAUAAAUAUGGCUGGACGUAAGCUCUGAUGAAGAGCUUCAAUUCUACUCUGUAGUAGGAGUAUGUAAAAUACCAUAGCAUUUCACUGGCCUCCUGCUUUAUCCAUGAUUGUUACUUGCUGCA